GACGUAGGUGGCAAGCGUUGUCCGGAGUUAUUGGGCGUAAAGCGCGCGCAGGCGGUUCGGUAAGUCCAUGGUGAAAGCGCCCGGCUCAACUGGGCGAGUGCCGUGGGGACUGCCGAGCUGGAGGGGAGCAGAGGCGAGUGGAAUUCCGGGUGUAGUGGUGAAAUGCGUAGAGAUCCGGAGGAACACCAGUGGCGAAGGCGGCUCGCUGGGCUCUACCUGACGCUGAGGCGAA
rnacentral:rRNA from 1 species